rnacentral:rRNA from 1 species
UACGAAGGGUGCAAGCGUUAAUCGGAAUUACUGGGCGUAAAGCGUGCGUAGGCGGUUGGUUAAGUCUGUCGUGAAAGCCCUGGGCUCAACCUGGGAAUGGCGAUGGAUACUGGCCAGCUAGAGUGUGAUAGAGGAUGGCGGAAUUCCUGGUGUAGCGGUGAAAUGCGCAGAUAUCAGGAAGAACACCAAUGGCGAAAGCAGCUUUCUGGGACGGUACUGACGCUGAGACGCGAAAGCGUGGGGAGCGAACAUC